rnacentral:tRNA from 1 species
GCACGGGAAAAGUGUUUGUUGCGGCCCUCUCAAGGCUGAAACAGGGGUUCAAUUCCCCUAGGGAGCGCCA